rnacentral:rRNA from 1 species
UACGGAGGGUGCAAGCGUUAAUCGGAAUUACUGGGCGUAAAGCGCACGCAGGUGGCUGAGUCAGUCGAUUGUGAAAGCCCUGGGCUUAACCUAGGAAUUGCAGUCGAUACUACUCAGCUAGAGUAUGGGAGAGGGCAGUGGAAUUCCCGGUGUAGCGGUGAAAUGCGUAGAUAUCUGGAGGAACACCGGUGGCGAAGGCGGCGUCCUGGACCAACACUGACACUGAUGAGCGAAAGCCAGGGGAGCAAACGGG